GGGCUCGUAGCUCAGUUGGUUAGAGCGUUACGUUGACAUCGUAAAGGCCGCCCGUUCGAGUCGGGCCGGGCCCA
rnacentral:tRNA from 2 species